CCUACGGGGGCAGCAGUGGGGAAUAUUUGACAAUGGGCGAAAGCCUGAUCCAGCCAUGCCGCGUGUGUGAAGAAGGCCUUCGGGUUGUAAAGCACUUUCAGUGGGGAAGAAAGCCUUGGGGCUAAUACCCUCGAGGAAGGACAUCACCCACAGAAGAAGCACCGGCUAACUCCGUGCCAGCAGCCGCGGUAAUACGGAGGGUGCGAGCGUUAAUCGGAAUUACUGGGCGUAAAGCGCGCGUAGGCGGUCUGAUAAGCCGGUUGUGAAAGCCCCGGGCUCAACCUGGGAACGGCAUCCGGAACUGUCAGGCUAGAGUGCAGGAGAGGAAGGUAGAAUUCCCGGUGUAGCGGUGAAAUGCGUAGAGAUCGGGAGGAAUACCAGUGGCGAAGGCGGCCUUCUGGACUGACACUGACGCUGAGGUGCGAAAGCGUGGGUAGCAAACAGGAUUAGAUACCCUAGUAGUC
rnacentral:rRNA from 1 species